GACGAACGCUGGCGGCGUGCUUAACACAUGCAAGUCGAACGGAAAGGCCCUGCUUUUGUGGGGUGCUCGAGUGGCGAACGGGUGAGUAACACGUGAGUAACCUGCCCUUGACUUUGGGAUAACUUCAGGAAACUGGGGCUAAUACCGGAUAGGAGCUCCUGCUGCAUGGUGGGGGUUGGAAAGUUUCGGCGGUUGGGGAUGGAUUCGCGGCUUAUCAGCUUGUUGGUGGGGUAGUGGCUUACCAAGGCUUUGACGGGUAGCCCGCCUGGGAGGGUGACCGGCGACAAUGCGACUGAGAUACGGACCAGAAUGCUACGGGCGGCAGCGGUGGGGAGUAUUGCACAAUGGGCGGAAGCCUGAUGCAGCAACGUCGCGUGCGGGAUGACGGCCUUCGGGUUGUAAACCGAUUUCGACUGUGACGAAGCGUGAGUGACGGUAAUGGGUAAAGAAGCAACGGCUAACUACGUG
rnacentral:rRNA from 1 species